CGAUGUCUAUUAGCCGUUGGGUCUGUUAUGGACUUGGUGGCGAAGCUAACGCGAUAAAUAGACCGCCUGGGGAGUACGGCCGCAAGGUUAAAACUCAAAUGAAUUGACGGGGGCCCGCACAAGCGGUGGAGCAUGUGGUUUAAUUCGAAGCAACGCGAAGAACCUUACCUACUCUUGAAAUCCAGUGAACUUAGCAGAGAUGCUUUGGUGCCUUCGGGAACACUGAGACAGGUGCUGCAUGGCUGUCGUCAGCUCGUGUUGUGAAAUGUUGGGUUAAGUCCCGUAACGAGCGCAACCCUUAUCCUUAGUUGCCAGCGAGUAAUGUCGGGGACUCUAAGGAGACUGCCGGUGAUAAGCCGGAGGAAGGCGGGGAUGACGUCAAGUCAGCAUGGCCCUUACGAGUAGGGCUACACACGUGCUACAAUGGUCGGUACAGACGGUUGCGAAGUCGCGAGAUGGAGCUAAUCUGAGAAAGCCGAUCGUAGUCCGGAUUGGAGUCUGCAACUCGACUCCAUGAAGUCGGAAUCGCUAGUAAUCGUGAAUCAGAACGUCACGGUGAAUACGUUCCCGGGCCUUGUACACACCGCCCGUCACACCAUGGGAGUUGAUUGCACCAGAAGUGGGUAGCUUAAAAUUGGGCGCUCACCACGGUGUGGUUAAUGACUGGGGUGAAGUCGUAACAAGGUAACC
rnacentral:rRNA from 1 species